rnacentral:lncRNA from 10 species
GUCACUGGCAGGCAGGGCUUUUGUCACCGCGGAAGGCCAAAUGUGCUUCUGAAGUGAGUUCAUCACAUAAAAGUAGCAUCUGGAGAGCCAUUGACAUAAUGUUGAGAGAAGCAAACAGCCUGGCUCCUGGGGCCCUGCCCCUGCAGCGAGUGUGUCACCAAGAGCUGCAGCAUUUCCUGUAGGCUCAUGAGCUGAGCGCCUCUCAAAGCAGCCAUGCUCCCAGGUCAAAACAAAUCAAGUUUUAACCGGGGAAAGAAAAAGCUGCCAUCUUCAAGGACUGGUGUCCUUAUAAUGAAAGGAAGAGACACUGAGUUCUGUCUCCCAGCCUUGUGAGGACACGUUGAGAUGACUGCAAGCUGGGAAGAGAGCCUUCACCAGGAGCUGAAUUUGCUGGUAGUUUGAUCUUGAACCACAUUGAGAUGACUGCAAGCUGGGAAGAGAGCCUUCACCAGGAGCUGAAUUUGCUGGUACUUUGAUCUUGAACCUCCAGCCUCCAGAAUUGUGACAAAAUAAAUUUCUGUUGUUGAAG